CCAUGGGUGGCGAGUGGCGGACGGGUGAGGAAUACAUCGGAAUCUACCUUUUCGUGGGGGAUAACGUAGGGAAACUUACGCUAAUACCGCAUACGACCUUAGGGUGAAAGCGGAGGACCUUCGGGCUUCGCGCGGAUAGAUGAGCCGAUGUCGGAUUAGCUAGUUGGCGGGGUAAAGGCCCACCAAGGCGACGAUCCGUAGCUGGUCUGAGAGGAUGAUCAGCCACACUGGAACUGAGACACGGUCCAGACUCCUACGGGAGGCAGCAGUGGGGAAUAUUGGACAAUGGGCGCAAGCCUGAUCCAGCCAUGCCGCGUGGGUGAAGAAGGCCUUCGGGUUGUAAAGCCCUUUUGUUGGGAAAGAAAAGCAGUCGGUUAAUACCCGAUUGUUCUGACGGUACCCAAAGAAUAAGCACCGGCUAACUUCGUGCCAGCAGCCGCGGUAAUACGAAGGGUGCAAGCGUUACUCGGAAUUACUGGGCGUAAAGCGUGCGUAGGUGGUUGUUUAAGUCCGUUGUGAAAGCCCUGGGCUCAACCUGGGAAUUGCAGUGGAUACUGGGCAACUAGAGUGUGGUAGAGGA
rnacentral:rRNA from 1 species